rnacentral:lncRNA from 1 species
CGCUCGGGUCCACUUCCGCACUGUGGAAACUUUGUUCUUUCUCUGUUUGCCAUAAAUCUUGCCACUGCUCACUCUUUGGGUCCACACUGCCUUUAUGAGUUGUAACACUCACCGCGAAGGUCUGCAGCUUCACUCCUGAAGCCAUCGAGACCACGAACCCACUGGGAGGAACAAACAACUCCAGAGGCUCCGCCUUAAGAGCUGUAACACUCACCGCGAAGGCCUGCAGCUUCACUCCUGAUCCAGGAGACCACAAACCCACCGGAAGGAAGAAACUCCUAACACAUCCGAACAUCAGAAGGAACAAACUCCGGACACACCGCCUUUAAGAACUAUAACACUCACCUCGAGGGUCCGCGGCUUCAUUCUUGCAGUCAGUGAGACCAAGAACCCACCAAUUCCGGACACAUAACUAGCAAAGCUACCUCAGGAUGGAGCAG